UCAUAAACUGCCAAUGAUGGAAAAUGAUUAUUUUCUGACAACUUACUGAUUGUUACAUUUUCUUUCGUCACUACCUCUGAGGCAGUUUAUGU